AUGAAGCGGGCGCGUGAGCGAUCCCGUGGAGAGAUCACUAGUGAGAAUGAUGACAUGAGUAGCGACAAAGAGUGUGAGAGACACUCUCGCCGAAAGUCCAAGGGUUCCUGCUUAAAGCUAAUCUGAGCAGGGUAAGCCGGCCCCUAAGCCGAGGCCGAAAGGCGUAGGCGAUGGGAACCACGUUAAUAUUCGUGGGCCAGGAGGAUGUGACGGAUCAUGAAGGUUGUUCGCCCUUAUCGGAUUGGGCGGGCCGCUGAUUGGUCCCUGGAAAUAGCCCUCCAUGAGACCGUACCCUAAACCGACACAGGUGGACUGGUAGAGAAUACCAAGGCGCUUGAGAGAACGAUGUUGAAGGAACUCGGCAAAAUACCUCCGUAAGUUCGCGAGAAGGAGGCCCGGUUCUGAGGUAACUUGGAGCUGGGGGCACAAACCAGGGGGUGGCGACUGUUUAUUAAAAACACAGGGCUCUGCGAAGUCGCAAGACGACGUAUAGGGUCUGACGCCUGCCCGGUGCCUGAAGGUUAAAAGGAGGGGUGAGAGCUCUGAAUUGAAGCCCAGGUAAACGGCGGCCGUAACAAUAA
rnacentral:rRNA from 1 species